rnacentral:rRNA from 1 species
GACGAACGCUGGCGGCGUGCUUAACACAUGCAAGUCGAACGGGCCCGCCCCUGUUUUUGGGGGUGGGUUGAGUGGCGAACGGGUGAGUAUCACGUGAGUAACCUGCCCCCUGCUCCUGGAUAACUGCUUGAAAGGGCGGCUAAUACGGGGUGUGCCGGCUGGUCCGCAUGGGCCUGGUCGGGAUAGUUUCAUCUUCGGGUGUUUCGGUUGGGGAUGGGCUCGCGGCCUAUCAGCUUGUUGGUGGGGUGAUGGCCCACCAAGGCGGUGACGGGUAGCCGGCCUGGGAGGGUGGGCGGCCACACUGGGACUGAGACACGGCCCAGACUCCGGCGGGAGGCAGCGGUGGGGGGUAUUGCACAAUGGGCGGAAGCCGGAUGCAGCGACGUCGCGUGAGGGAUGGAGGCCUUCGGGUUGUGAACCUCUUUCUCCGGUGGUGAAGGCCCUGUCCGUUGCGGCGGGGUUGACGGUAGCCGGGUAUGAAGCGCCGGCUAACUACGUG